rnacentral:rRNA from 1 species
GACGAACGCUGGCGGCGUGCUUAACACAUGCAAGUCGAACGGAAAGGCCCUGCUUUUGUGGUGUGCUCGAGUGGCGAACGGGUGAGUAACACGUGAGUAACCUGCCCUUGACUUUGGGAUAACUUCAGGAAACUGGGGCUAAUAUCGGAUAGGAGCUCCUGCUGCAUGGUGGGGGUUGGAAAGUUUCGGCGGUUGGGGAUGGACUCGCGGCUUAUCAGCUUGUUGGUGGGGUAGUGGCUUACCAAGGCUUUGACGGGUAGCCGGCCUGAGAGGGUGACCGGCCACAUUGGGACUGAGAUACGGCCCAGACUGCUACGGGAGGCAGCAGUGGGGAAUAUUGCACAAUGGGCGGAAGCCUGAUGCAGCAACGCCGCGUGCGGGAUGACGGCCUUCGGGUUGUAAACCGCUUUCGCCUGUGACGAAGCGUGAGUGACGGUAAUGGGUAAAGAAGCACCGGCUAACUACGUG